CUGUUGAUCAAUGAAGAAGAAAAAAAAAGAAAAGGAAACUGAGUACUUUACAGAAGCCAUCAAGAAAAUGGAUUUAAAUGAAGAUAGCUCAGCAAAACUUCAAAACCUUGUCAAAGAGGUAGUAAACAAACCUGCAUCACCAAACACUUCAGCAGAUAUCACAGCCAUUGAGCUAGAUCAAAAGAAGAGACAAGAGCUGAUUGAAAAAGAGACUGCAGAAGAUAUAGCUGCAGCAAAUGAUGUCAUAAAAAUGGCUUUCAAACAAAUGUCUGCUGAAAGUUCACAAGUCUUCACAAGGCAAAAAUCCCCUGACUCAUCAGUGAAUAAACCUCUCCAAAGAAACCCAUUGGGUUCAAAAGUACUAAAAUGGAUGUCUGAUCAAAAGACCCAUGUAUUGACCCUGAUCAGAUCCCAUGGAGAAGUUAAGCACAUAUUAACGGAUCAAGCACUAGGCCUGGGUGUUGAAGAUCUACAAGAUCUCCUUGAGCUUACACUGUGUAGGGAUGAGGGUGAUAGAAGUUCUCAGGAUUUUGAGAUUCAAUUUAAAGAACAAGUUAGGGAACUUCUGAUGAGAAAUAAAAGUCCAGAAUAAUGAAGAGUUUUGGCAUUAUCUGUUCCAGGGGGAGAUUGUUGGGAUUGAACCCUACCAGAGGAACAGAUAAUGAAAGCCAAAACUGGUUCACAACAGUGGAUUCAUCAUAAUCAGCUGUUUGCAUUAAGCUUUCCCCUUCACAGUGGUUAUUUGGCAACUGACAGACUUCAAAGCACUGAUCAAUAAGACAACUGUUACCAAAGUACUGAUGAAGAUUAAAGACUGAAGCUCAAUCUACUGACGGAAUCCAAGCACUGCUGAAGAGUUAAAGCACUGCCCAUUCAAGGUCUGAUCACCCUUUGAAGAAAGCACUGAUGCUCAACAUCAGUGGUUGACUACAUCAGUGGUUGACUACAUCAGUGGAAUGAAGAAUCAGUGUUUAUACAUCAGUGAUUAGAAUGUAAUCAGUGUCUGUAUGGUCAGUAGUUAUAGAUCAGUGGAUAGAGUUUGUUAGGUUGUUAGAUGUCACUUUCAUGGUGACGUCAGCUUAGAUGCUUCAGUGGUUUGGUUUGCCUAUAAAUGUAACAGUACCCUGUACUGUUACAUUUGAUUGAUUGACUGAGUGAGUUCUUCUCCUCUGUUCAAAUCCAUUCAUCUUGUGCAAUCAACCUUGGAGCAUCAGGCUGAGGGGGAGUUUAUUUUGUAAGCAUGCUGUAUAAUCUUUUGGUUUGUAUUGUAAUCAUUCGACUUUAUGAAAAGCAUGUGUUUAUCUAAACUAUUUUCUUCCUGAGUUGUGUUUACAAAGUUUGUGUUCAUUUCCGCUGCACUUAAUGUUCAAUUUAUGCAAACAAACACAAUUCUGUGAGCCCUCUUCAUGUUUUCAUGUAUGUGCCUAAGACAAAACCUGUGCUCCGCAUUAGGAAACACCCUCUUCAUAGCUGGAAUUAGACCCUGCAGCACAUAAUUUGCCUAAAAUGUAAGAUUAAAUUACAUAUAUGUGUGUAUUUAAACAAAAUUGUUUAGUUACCUUUUGACGAUCACUGAUAAAUGUGUAAUUUGUAGUGGUUGUUAAGUCAUGAUCAUCCUGGAAGAUAUUUAAGAACCAUAUCCACCUCUGAUAAAUUUCUGCUUCAACAAAAGCAAAAGCUAGUGGCUAUAUCCCAUUGUUACCAUCCACACGCACAACACUCAAUAUAUGUCCUGGAUAUGGACCUUUAAUGAAACAACCGUCCAAUCCUAGCAGAUUUCACCCAUAUAACUUAAAGCCCCUCUUCAUCGCACCAAAGCAUAUGUAUAACAGUCUGAAUUGCCUAGUAUCAACAUUAGGGUUUGUGAACGGCUCUACAUCUAUCUUGAUAGUGCUAUUAGGAUUGGCCCUUAUCAGUUCUUCACCAUAUGAUCUUGAAGAGCAGGGAAUGGGAUAUCAGGGUUACUUCAACUAUCAGAGUGUGGAGGAAUGACCCAAUUCGGUCAUUAAAAAUUAACCAUUAAAUAAAGUCAUAAAUAGGGAAAAUAUUCCCAUAUAUCUCCAUGCAUAUAAAUCUCCGAUAAAGUAGGAGUCGCCGAACCGACUUCCCAAAAUACGCGUAAACCCUAAAACCACCCACAAGUAUAAAUAGAGGGAUCAUCAAGAAGGUAAGACACAUUGUUCUCUCAAUACAUUCUCUUCCACACUCCCGCUAGUGGGAAACCCUUAAAGCAUACCUUCCAUAUGGGAAGGAGAGAUGAGAAAGUUCCCAACAUGCGCCCGCAAGAUAUUCUCUUCCCCAGAAUGCAGCGGACGAUCAGCGGCAAGAAUAGAAGCACACUUUUCCGGGUACAGGAAGUCAGCGAGAGAAAAGGACACUGCAAGGAACCCUAGUUAUAACACACCAUGGGAAUACUAACAAUGUUAAAGAUUUGAUAACUUACCUCCAUCGGUGGUCCUGAAAGUAGGAUAGAUCUGAACGUCACGCCAACAUAGGCUCAUCCCAACUAAUGCCCACCUUCAGGAACAACCAAACAUUCUGAGGGCCGGGCAAUCAACGCCUUAAACAGGGCAUUUUCUUGAUAUUCCGCCUUGGGCGGCGCAAUAUCUUUCACCUUCUCCUUGGCUGCCAUCACUCGCCAAUGCAUUCCCCCGGAAUAACAUCGGCGUCUAUAAAGAAGAAUUUCUUCUUCCAAUCUUUAUCUCGACAACUCGAGGGAACAAAUCGUAGGCACGCCUCCUUAGUCUUUGGCGGUCAAACGUGAAGAAGGGGGCUUUCCACACCAACGUGUAUAGGGUACGGAAUACAAGUGAUCCCGACAAGAAUCCCACACUCAAGCAAGCAUACUCGAAGUGACAAAGCUUUACAAGACCAAGAGGAUGCAUCUAGGAUAUGUGCACAGCAUACUUGUCUAACAUCGACUUACAGAACGCAGUAAUGGGAAGUUGUAAAUUGCAGAACUUGAAGAAGUCGGCGAAUAAAGUGAUCUUGCCAUUCUUCAGGGGAAAGGCAGUGUCCCUCUCCGAUGGCAUCACCAGAUGCCACUCUGGCCUAAUGCAUUACGUUUGCAGCAGUAGUUCGAAUGAAGUUUUAUUCCAUUUGAAGUAAAGAGCUUCAUCGCGAGAUGAGGAUUCAGAGGUCUUGGGGGCCAUCAUAGAAAAAUAAGAAAUGAAGAAGCGACCGUUGAAGUAAUUAGGGAAAAUCUUGACCCUUUGAGAUCAAUCCCAUAUUUAUACCCGUCAUUUCCACGUUUCAAAAUUCAAAAAUGGAGCCAAAAAAUGACUCGUGGCAGCUCAGGUAAUAAUUAGCAGGUCAUUGAUGUGACAACUAACGCCGCCAAAUCGCCCUUUCGGGUACCUGGCACCAGAUAUUAUGACGGCGUAUUUAUUUAUUUUAUUUAAGUCUUAUUAUACAUUUGUUCAUUGAUGUGCUUUUUUAGUGGUUUUGUAACUUUUUAAAGUUCGACCCCAUGCAAAACCCCAUAGAAUCGGACUGAAGGGACAUGUGGAGGAAUGACCUGAUUCGGUCAUUCCAGGUCAAACAUUAACUAUUAAAUAAAGUCAUAAAUAGGGAAAAUAUUCCCAUAUAUCUCCAUGCAUAUAAAUCUCCGAUAAAGUAAGAGUCGCUUAACCGACUUCCCAAAAUAUGCGGAAACCCUAAAACCACCUACAAGUAUAAAUAGAGGGAUCAUCACGAAGGUAAGACACAUUGUUCUCUCAAUACAUUCUCUUUACUCCCACAAAGCAGAUACUUAUUCUCACGCCAGAGGGUGGUUACAGGAAUAACCCCAUUCCUGUAACGAGUCCUAACGGUGUUUUGUUUUGCAGACCAAGGAUCGGAUCACUUCUCAUUGAAUCAACCAGUUCAGAGACAUGUUCAGAAAGAUCAAUCGCGAUUCAAGUUGUACGACGAAGAGUACCUGUAUAUAAGAGAGCGGUAACCUUUCUUACUGAGGUUUUGAUGGUAUGGUCUAAUAUCAUAAACUGUUCUUGUGAAGUUCAAAUCGGAGCAUCUUAUCCAUUCUCUUAUGGUUCCCUGUUGUUAUAGCCUGUGUGAGCAAUGCUAUAUAAUUCUAUAAACUAAAAAGAUGUAUAUAAGAAUACCUCGCGAGUAU
rnacentral:lncRNA from 1 species